UACGUAGGGUGCGAGCGUUGCCCGGAUUUAUUGGGCGUAAAGGGCGCGUAGGCGGCUCGGCACGUCCGUUGUGAAAUCGCCCGGCUCAACUGGGCGGGGUCAGCGGAUACGGUCGAGCUUGAGCAAGCUAGGGGGUAAUGGAAUUCCCGGUGUAGUGGUGGAAUGCGUAGAUAUCGUGAGGAACACCAGAGGCGAAGGCGGUUACCUGGACAGUUACUGACGCUCAGGCACGAAAGCGUGGGGAGCAAAAGGG
rnacentral:rRNA from 1 species